rnacentral:lncRNA from 1 species
ACAUGCGUACAUUCCUCAUUUGGCCACUACUCACCUUUGAGGACUUGCUGGGUUAAUUCUCUGCUGCCACACUGUUUAGCCAUUUCUUCCUGGGCUGUGUGCUGUCCUUGAUGGCCCAUGAGCUUCCCACCGUGCCCUAAUCCAACCUAACACUACCUUCACUGCUGGCACUCUGGUUUUUUUUNNNNUUUUUUUUUUUUUUUUGCACUCUGGGUUUUUAUGUAGUGAACAUUUUUAACUCCUCUGAUCUUAAGAAUCACUUGGGGUACUCUCCUGGUGAUUCUGAGUCAGAAGCUUUGUGGAGGAGUCUGCUGAUCUGUAUAUUUAACAGAAGUCCCAGGUGAUUUUUAUGAUCACUUGAGUCUGAUAUACAUGAAUUCAAUAAAUAUGAAAGUAGAAAGAUGUCCUCAAGAUCAUUUAAGCCAGUGGUACUCAAAGAAUGUCUUUCCAACCAGGAGCAUCAGUAUCAUCAGGGACUUGGAAGCAUCAAUUAUCAACCCUCUGUUGAGUAGACACCCUGGAGGGGAACCCACUGACUUGUAUUGUAACAAGCCCUCCAGAGAUUCUCACAUAGGCUAAAGUUCCAGACCACCGGCUUAGACCAGCCCUUUCCUGUUCUCGAUUUUACAGAUGAGAAAUGUUGAUACUCUCUUCUCUCACUUUGGGACCUUGAGUGUUGAUAGAAGGACAGUACCACAAUCCCUAGAUGAUUGUGAACAGGGUGGGAUGACAGAAGGUAGGGAGCCACUGAGGAUGGGGCAUCAGUGAGUGUGGUUCUUAACUCUCUCUCUCUCUACCUCCAGAGUGAGGUCUUGCCUGUGCAAAUAAGGAACCAUGUUUACCAAGGAGAUUGCUGAAAGACACAAGCUUCUGGAGAGCCAUGUCCCUGUGGUAAACCAGAGCCUGGUGUUACCAGUGACUCUCCACCUAAGAAAUCCCCUGAGAACCCAGAAACCAAGGAGCCCCAGUUCCCUCCAGAGAAAGACAUGCUUCACCCUUGGAGAAGUUUCAGCUCUGCUUUUGGUGAUCAAUGAAUGCCUCAAGUCCUGCUCAACUCUGUUUGCUCCAUUCUGGCUGCAACUUAGUGUGGGUCUAACAAGUCUAAUUAGGAUUUCAUCUGACAGGCUUCACAAGUCUAUCCUUCAAAAACCCAAAUAA